rnacentral:sRNA from 1 species
UAAAAUUUGUACAGUCAAGAAAAUAAAGCUUUGAGAAUUUACUCUACUACAAUCUUAAAAAGAAAACUAGAUUUUAACCCGCGGUAUACCGCGGGACGAUUUAUUUUUUAAAAGUAAUAUAUAUUAAAACUUGCAAAAUG